UUAGGCAGAAGCUACGAACUUGUGGACGUAUGAUAGUAAUCUCUAUGAACGUUUCUAUUCAUACAACUUUUUUUUUUUUCUCCAUUUUUUGAAUUUCUCAAAAAAUGUAGCUCAUGUGAAAGAUAUGUUAGGGACAAAUAUAAUAUUGGUAUAAUUGAAACCAACCAAUCUACAAAUUAUUUUUCUCCUAUUUUUUAUUUAUUAUUAGUAUGAAAAUUAAGACGUCUGGUUUUAGAAGAUGAAAUAUGUACAAUUCUAUAAAUU
rnacentral:lncRNA from 1 species